UAACAAAUCCGUAGUACUUCUAACUCUCUAAGAUAUGACGUCAUUAUAUUAUUAUAUGGUCUUCGAUUUUUUAUUAAUCGCAACGCUAGACAUUUUUAUGUUAACCGAUUCACAUUUUAUAAUUUAAAUAACCUUUCUUUAUUUUUUUGAUCUCCAGUUCUCCAUCUUCAAAUCUUCCUCCUCUUCAAGCCGUCAAAGCUCAAAGCGGGAGGGGUGAUGAAAAGCAAAGAAAUAUUGGGUAAAGAGCAAUUACUCAGAAAUUCACCGAAUAUCUCUUUUGAGCUGAGGAGAUUCAAAUGGUUCUCGACAAAGGAGGAGGUGCUGGGCCUGCUUCUAAUGGCGUCGAUGUGGUUGUUGCUGCCCGGCCGAAGGCGAAGUUGAUGGUUGGGAGGGAGUAAGGAUGGCGAGGAUGCUGAUCAAGCAGGCUAAGUUGUGGUCCAGGCUUAAUUCGGUGAUCAUUAGAGAAAGGCCUAAUGUAAAGUGUAGUGAUGUUGCUGGGUUGGAGAGUGCCAAGCAAGCCGUUUAUGUUUCCUCAGUUUUUCACCGGACAAUUUGAAUUGCUCCUUUGGUGCUUAAUGCCCUCAAACUGAUAAAUGAUACAUCUGAAGUUAAGUUGCAGAGGGUGAUCGAGGACUCCGAUGCUUUGUUCAAAAUGCCCAAGUUGCUGGAGAAGGUUGGGAGAAGGCCUAGAGAGGGCGCGGCAGCAAGGGGAGAGGCUUCCCAAAAUUCUGGAGAUGCCUUGGAGAUGGUCUAUAGAGGCCUCUCCAGACAAGGCCGCAGGUGCGGCGUUUAGAGGAGAAGGCGCGACGAAUUUAGAUUAUGAGUUUUAAUCUUUAUUUUGUAAUCUUGUUUUCCUAGAUUGUAAUUUACUAAUUUAGAUUAUGAGUUUAAUGGCCUAGUGUGCGGGAGUGAUCUAGGUUGUUAGGCAAUUUUCCAAUUCUAUCUACUUGACUAAUUAAACUAUCAAUAGUGUUUGUUUGCGAUUGAUUAAUGCUAGUAUAGAGAUGUGUAUGGUUAAUUCUAAAUGAUUUGGAUGUGCUCA